rnacentral:rRNA from 1 species
AGAGUUUGAUCCUGGCUCAGGAUGAACGCUAGCUACAGGCUUAACACAUGCAAGUCGAGGGGCAGCAUGGUCUAGCAAUAGACUGAUGGCGACCGGCGCACGGGUGAGUAACACGUAUCCAACCUACCGGCUAUUCCGGGAUAGCCUUUCGAAAGAAAGAUUAAUACCGGAUAGCAUAGCGAGAAGGCAUCUUCUUGCUAUUGAAGAAUUUCGAUAACCGAUGGGGAUGCGUUCCAUUAGUUUGUUGGCGGGGUAACGGCCCACCAAGACAUCGAUGGAUAGGGGUUCUGAGAGGAAGGUCCCCCACAUUGGAACUGAGACACGGUCCAAACUCCUACGGGAGGCAGCAGUGAGGAAUAUUGGUCAAUGGGCGAAAGCCUGAACCAGCCAUGUCGCGUGAAAAGGAUGAAGGUCCUAUGGAUUGUAAACUUCUUUUGCAGGAGGGUAAAGUGAGCUACGUGUAGUUCAUUGCAAGUACCCUGCGAAUAAGCAUCGGCUAACUCCGUGCCAGCCGCCGC